CCAAACAUGUUGACUAAACCCCUCCUUUGCAA
rnacentral:tRNA from 1 species